CCGCAGCAUGGACCGUGGACAUCAACAUGGCCUCCAGUGGCAGCACAGACCACGGAUCGAGGAGACUCUUGAUCCAGAAAAUGAACCGUUCUUCUUCUCAGAUAUCUUGCUGCUCGGAGUCAGGGUGACUGUGGGGCUGGGUAGCUUGACCGGGGCAGGGCCCGUUUGAGCUCCACCCUGCCCUGGGUGCCCGCCAUCCCACCAGCACAGCGUCAUGGCCCAGCAGACCGAGCAGCGUCACAUGACUCCACGGUAUCCAAUAUGUGAAGUGUGAGAACAGACCCACAGAGGUUGCGCCAGGCCCUAACCCCUCAGCAAGAAAGCCCGCCGGUCGCACCAGGCUCAUGCCCACAUCCGCAUCUUCAGCAGCUCCUCCAACGACUGCUUCAGUGCCUGCCUCCCCUCAGGUUCGGGGUGGAUGUGAACUUCUGCUGAGGUCAGUGAGGCCGCAGGAGAAGCUGGCCUGAAUCCCAGCAUCUCCUUCUGGUGACCCUCGCACCUUCUUCUGGAGUCUUUGUUAAGGGGGAAGGUAGCGAGCCCUUCUCAAGUUCUGUGGGCCAUCUUGUCAACCAUGAAGCCAGUGUGGCAGCUGAUUAGGAGUACAGGUGACAGCCUAGGACUUAGGACUGGCUUGGGAACGGGAGGGCAGCCUUGUGACUGAGCCCUUAACCUCUGCAGGCUGCACUGUGUCUGGAUUGUCAGAAGUGAGCUGAGUCAGCUGACGUCCAGUCAGUCAGCAUACACAGCUAAGGAUUACAGAGGGCAGGAAACUCCCCACAGCUGGACUGCGAUGACAGAAAUCUGUUUCCCUGGCAUCUAGCGCCGAUGAGCUCCGUGAGCUCUCAUCCCAGACAAAUUCUGUCCUGUCUUUCCUCAGACCCCACUGGGCCACCAUGCCCAAGUUCCCAGCGGCCUGUGCAGCCGGGUCUGACUCUGUCAGCUCCUCUGGUAAAGCGCCUCUUGUUUUCACCCAGGACUCCAGAGAACUACGGGCUGGUUUGCUUAGGGUGAUGGUAUAAUUGAAAAACCUCAGGACAACAUCUGGCACGUAAUCACUCCUGAGAUAUCUAGCAGAGUCAGGUGUGGUGUUACAGGCCUGUAAUCCCAGCCCUCAGGAGGCUAAGAACGGCGGACUGUGAGUUCAAAGGCAGCCUGGGUUACAGAGAGAGUCCUUGUCUUGAAAAAAGAAAAAAAUAAAAAAGGUAUGUGGGAGAAGUUGGGAGAGAAAGUGUUCUUAGUAAUACUGUCACUGGGGCUGGAGAGCUCUGGUCCUUCGCUGGCUCAAAGCACAACUGCCCUGCCCUCCCCGACCAGAUCUGAGGCUUUGUACUCGAGUAAGGGUGUGGCUGGCCGAUUUUAAAGCUCUCCAGUGAUUGAAUGGAUUUGAGUAAACUGGGACUCUUCCUCACCGCGUCAAUAGCCAGCAAGUCCCUCAUGUGGAAACUGUGCUAGGACAUUCCAGAGAGUUCUGUCUCACAGGCCAGAGCUCAUUCGUUCAUUCAUCAAGUAUAACCCACUCCAUUGUGCAGGCCUGACCAGAUGCUGGGAUCCAGGACAGAUCCAGGCUUCUGCUUCCUGGAAGCUAACCUGUGAAGGGAGACAAACAGACCUGCUGUGAGGCCCGUGGCUAAGAAGCUGCAGCCCAGGAGGAAUCCAGGAGCAUGUCACAGAAAGCAGAGACAGACAUCUCUUCAGGUUCUUCUUCAGGAAUGUGUAGGCAUAUGCUGUUCAAGGAAAGGCAAAGCUAUGUAACCAACUAUUCCAAACUGGCAUCUUAAGGGAAUAGUUUACUGCGUGUAGAGUCUGCAGGUCGGGAGUGUAGUGGGCAGGGUGAAAGCACCUGGCCUCCUCCUUAGUGUUUGUGCCUCUGCGGGAGUCUCAUUUCAUAGACCAGCAUGACUCGGAGACUCGCCGACCAUCGACCAGAGUGGAUUGUCUGUGUGGAGUGCUGAGCUUCCUCACAGCCAUGGUGGCCUUGGGUAAGGCCCGGGUGAUGAACCCAUGUAGUUUCCCACAGUAUCAUAUUGACUGAGGGAGUCUGAAGACCACCCUUCCAAUUCUAUGACAUCUGUAACGCAUAGUAUUUUCAACCAGACAGGAUCUGGAGUCGCUUACAAAACAGAACUCUGGCCCUGUCUGUGAGGGGGUUUCUAGAUUUGGUGAAGUGAAAAACCCACCUUAAAUGUAGGUGGCACCAUCCCAUGGCCCAGGGUCCUGGACUGAAUAAAAAGGAGAAAGGGUGCUGAGCUGGUGCUGAGUUGGUACGUUCAUCUUGCUUCCUGACCACAGAUGCGAUGUGAGCAGCCACCUCGUGCUCUUGCCACUCGCCUUCCCCAUCGGGAUGGAGCAGCGCCUUUCCCACCACGACGACCUGUACCCUCAAACCGUGCACCAAAACAAGCCCCUCCCUCCUUAAACUGCUGUAAUCUGGUGUUUUGUUCAUCCUCUUGGCUGAAGAGGCCAGACGUUGGGUACGGUGCACCAGGGCUCUCCGGGGCUCUCGGUGGGAGUGCUGGUGCAUCUGGAGACUGAGGUGAGGGUGAUGGCAUCUCCUAUGUGCUGGCUAUUCCUAUGCACCAGACACCACGUUCAGUUCUCCUGUGCGUUAAUGAACCAAUUCACUAAGUCUCUUAGCGCAAUCAGGGUCUGGACUGGGUGUUUCCAGAUUCUUGACGUCUUGUUUAAGACAGAAAUAAAAGUGCAAAGAGA